CACGGGGGGGAGCAAGCGUUGUUCGGAAUCACUGGGCGUAAAGGGCGUGUAGGCGGUUGCGUAAGUGGAAUGUGAAAUCCCCAGGCUUACCCUGGGACCUGCAUCCCAAACUGCGCGACUUGAGUAUGGGAGAGGAUGAGGGAAUUCCUGGUGUAGCGGUGAAAUGCGUAGAUAUCAGGAGGAACACCGGUGGCGAAGGCGCUCAUCUGGCCCCAAUACUGACGCUGAGGCGCGAAAGCUAGGGUAGCGAACGGG
rnacentral:rRNA from 1 species